UACGUAGGGUGCAAGCGUUGUCCGGAAUUAUUGGGCGUAAAGAGCUCGUAGGCGGUCUGUCGCGUCGGCUGUGAAAACCCGGGGCUCAACCCCGGGCCUGCAGUCGAUACGGGCAGACUAGAGUGUGGUAGGGGAGACUGGAAUUCCUGGUGUAGCGGUGAAAUGCGCAGAUAUCAGGAGGAACACCGGUGGCGAAGGCGGGACUCUGGGCCGGUACUGACGCUGAGGAGCGAAAGCCAGGGGAGCAAACGGG
rnacentral:rRNA from 1 species